rnacentral:rRNA from 1 species
GAUCAUGGCUCAGGACGAACGCUGGCGGCGUGCCUAAUACAUGCAAGUAGAACGCUGAAGGAGGAGCUUGCUUCUCUGGAUGAGUUGCGAACGGGUGAGUAACGCGUAGGUAACCUGCCUGGUAGCGGGGGAUAACUAUUGGAAACGAUAGCUAAUACCGCAUAACAGUAGAUGUUGUCAUGACAUUUGUCUAAAGGUUAGCAAUUGUCAUCACUACCACGAUGG